GUUUGAAGCUACACACGAAGAUGCAAGUUUCAUCUUUAUUAUUGUGAUUAUGGAUGAACUAACUGCGGUGGCAAAUGGUGUCUACCAGUAAGGCUGCCCUCCAAUAGUCCAUCUCUAUGCAUGUUGCUGCAAUGCAAAGAUGAAUGAAAAGAAGAUUCCAGAAGAUACCUGUUUGAUCACACAAGGCAAGAGAUUGGCAAAAGAGACGGACGGGAUGACCAGGACAUGUGGAGAACCAGAAGUCGUUAUUGUCUGAGGAGUGAGGCGGAUUGAGACAUGGCUGGAGGAAAAUGCAGCCCAGGGCGAUAGCCUCGAUGGGCGCAGGACCCUCAUAGGGGAAACCAAGACCUACAAACACCUGAUGGGACAGGGGGGAUGGUCUUAUUAAUGUGCUUUUAAAGGAGGCACCAUCAGCUUGUGUCUGACUUUGGCUGUGCGGAGGAGUUGCAGGAAGUGUUGCUGGGAGAGCAGGCCGUGGUUUCUCACAAAGCUGGGCAAGGUGGAGACAUGUCCAGGAGGCUGGUAGACAGUAGCAUGAAUCUCCAGUUCUUCACUAAUCACCUGUACAUAUUCAGAUUUU